rnacentral:rRNA from 1 species
UUUAAAUUGAGAGUUUGAUCCUGGCUCAGGAUGAACGCUGGCGGCGUGCCUAAUACAUGCAAGUCGUACGCUAGCCGCUGAAUUGAUCCUUCGGGUGAAGUGAGGCAAUGACUAGAGUGGCGAACUGGUGAGUAACACGUAAGAAACCUGCCCUUUAGUGGGGGAUAACAUUUGGAAACAGAUGCUAAUACCGCGUAACAACAAAUCACACAUGUGAUCUGUUUGAAAGGUCCUUUUGGAUCGCUAGAGGAUGGUCUUGCGGCGUAUUAGCUUGUUGGUAGGGUAGAAGCCUACCAAAGCAAUGA